rnacentral:rRNA from 1 species
CCUACGGGUGGCUGCAGUGGGGAAUAUUGGACAAUGGGCGAAAGCCUGAUCCAGCCAUGCCGCGUGUGUGAAGAAGGCCUUCGGGUUGUAAAGCACUUUCAGUGGGGAAGAAAGCCUUGGGGCUAAUACCCUCGAGGAAGGACAUCACCCACAGAAGAAGCACCGGCUAACUCCGUGCCAGCAGCCGCGGUACUACGGAGGGUGCGAGCGUUAAUCGGAAUUACUGGGCGUAAAGCGCGCGUAGGCGGUCUGAUAAGCCGGUUGUGAAAGCCCCGGGCUCAACCUGGGAACGGCAUCCGGAACUGGCAGGCUAGAGUGCAGGAGAGGAAGGUAGAAUUCCCGGUGUAGCGGUGAAAUGCGUAGAGAUCGGGAGGAAUACCAGUGGCGAAGGCGGCCUUCUGGACUGACACUGACGCUGAGGUGCGAAAGCGUGGGUAGCAAACAGGAUUAGAUACCCGUGUAGUC